rnacentral:rRNA from 12 species
CUAGGAUGCUGGCGUAAUGAUUGUAAGCCGCCCGUCUUGUAACACGGACCAAGGAGUCUAACAUCUAUGCGAGUGUUAGGGUGUCAAACCCUUACGCGUAAUGAAAGUGAACGGAGGUGGGAACCCGCAAGGGUGCACCAUCGACCGAUCCUGAUGUCUUCGGAUGGAUUUGAGUAAGAGCAUAGCUGUUGGGACCCGAAAGAUGGUGAACUAUAC